UCUAACAGGGUAAAAGAGCAAAAAUCGUGUUCAAAUUCAACAGCUACUCCACGUUUUGAAGAGAGAAUUAUUUCAAGAUUUGGCUCCAUUGUUGUGGAAUUCUUUUGGUACUAUUGUUGCACUGUUACAGCUUGCCAAUUUGGAAGUUUGGUUUCAGCGGCCAAAAGACAUUGUUCCGAAAUUGGUAUCUGGAGUCCUUGUUUUCUUAUCAAGGAUUGGUAUGAGGAAGUGCAUUACCAUUAAAAGUUCAUCAUUUUUGUUCCUGCUGUCAGGGGAAUGAGGAUCUUAUUCUUGUUCAUGAUGCUCUUGAGUAUGGGGACUGCUGAAAAGACUCUGCGAGUCGCUACUGGAUUCACCUACGAAUGAUCUGUGUUUCAUUUUAUUAUAUUAUGAAAAUUUCAGUUUAUUUUUCUCAUUUUUGUAACAUUUUCAGUUUUGGCCCUAUCCUUCUGCACAGCUAGAUCCUAAAUUUAUGAAAGAAAAUGGACUAAAGUAUGUGACUUUUUCAACUGCUGAUGGAGCAUUGGAGGCAGCUCCUGCAAAUAAUGGUUGAUGAGAUCAUCGGUUGGCAGGUUUCCAAAUGCACUCGGGGUUUUAUGUAUCCAAUUUAUGGUCAUGGGGAACUACCACAGGCUUUUUGCUGUUGUGCUGCUGUCAAAGGUUGCAUUCAUUUCUUAAUGCAAGGGAAAGUUGGUGGCUAUGCAUGAGUAUUUAAGAAGUACCAGGAAAAGGCAGAGUCCUUUAUGUGAGACCCUUUAAAUAUUAGUACCUCAGUUUGUUUUGCAUUAAAAUAGAAUAAUAUUAAGAUUAAGAUUAAGAUUUUGAUCAUA